rnacentral:lncRNA from 1 species
CAAUAAGAAAAUCAAAAAUCUCAAAAGCUCUCUUCUCUUCCUAAUUCUCUCAAACCUCCAUUGGAGGAAAGCUCAACCUCAAGCUAGAAGAUGAAUCUUUGAACGAUUUCUUCUCCAAUUUCAUGGGUAUUCAAUCAAUAAGGUUUAGUGAUCCUUCAUCAUUAGUUAUUCAUUUAUCUAAGGAGUUUCUCCAAAGGUUUUCAAAGAAGAUUUCAUGAUGAAAAUUGCAAUUUUUCAAUCUAGCCACUGGUUCUUAUUCAAAUUGAUUUCAAAAGUCCAUCAAUGUUUUAUUAUUUUCUUGGUUGCUAUCUGCUAGAACUUGGAAUCUAUUGCAAUGGAGGUUGCAAGUUGCAACAAUGUUUUGUUGGUUUUCUAAAUCUCUUUUGUUGCUGGAAGUUGUAAUGAGCCAGAUAAUGAUUACACUUUCAAUGAUUUUAAUUACUUAAAAUGAUUUCUAAGAACCUAUAAACCAUCAAAGAACAC